rnacentral:rRNA from 1 species
UCGGAACGUGCCCUGGAGUGGGGGAGUAACUAGUCGAAAGACUAGCUAAUACCGCAUACGAUCUACGGAUGAAAUGGGGGAUCGCAAGACCUCAUGCUCGUGGAGCGGCCGAUAUCUGAUUAGCUAGUUGGUGGGGUAAAGGCCUACUAAGGCAUCGAUCAGUAGCUGGUCUGAGAGGACGACCAGCCACACUGGGACUGAGACACGGCCCAG